GGUUUUAUAGUCAAUUAUGAUUUUAAAUUGCAAAUUUAAAGGUAAAGUUUUUUUAAAGCCU
rnacentral:tRNA from 1 species